rnacentral:rRNA from 1 species
AGCGAACGCUGGCGGCAGGCCUAACACAUGCAAGUCGAACGAACUCUUCGGAGUUAGUGGCGGACGGGUGAGUAACACGUGGGAACGUGCCUUUUGGUUCGGAAUAACUCAGGGAAACUUGUGCUAAUACCGAAUGUGCCCUUCGGGGGAAAGAUUUAUCGCCAUUAGAGCGGCCCGCGUCUGAUUAGCUAGUUGGUGAGGUAACGGCUCACCAAGGCGACGAUCAGUAGCUGGUCUGAGAGGAUGACCAGCCACACUGGGACUGAGACGCGGCCCAGACUCCUACGGGAGGCAGGAGUGGGGGAUCUUGCGCAAUGGGCGGAAGGAUGACGCAGCCAUGCCGCGUGAAUGAUGAAGGUCUUAGGAUUGUAAAGUUCUUUCACCGGGGACGAUAAUGACGGUACCCGGAGAAGAAGCCCCGGCUAACUUCGUG